rnacentral:rRNA from 1 species
UGCCAGCCGCCGCGGUAAUACGGAGGGUGCGAGCGUUAAUCGGAAUUACUGGGCGUAAAGCGCGCGUAGGUGGUCUGUUAAGUCGGAUGUGAAAGCCCCGGGCUCAACCUGGGAACCGCAUUCGAUACUGGCAGACUAGAGUGCGGGAGAGGGAGGUAGAAUUCCAUGUGUAGCGGUGAAAUUCGUAGAUAUUUGGAGGAACACCAGUGGCGAAGGCGGCUCACUGGCUCGAUACUGACGCUGAGGUACGAAAGUGUGGGGAGCAAACAGGAUUAGAUA